rnacentral:rRNA from 1 species
GACGUAGGGCGCGAGCGUUGUCCGGAUUUAUUGGGCGUAAAGAGCUCGUAGGCGGCUUGUCGCGUCGAAUGUGAAAACUCGGGGCUCAACCCCGCGCUUGCAUUCGAUACGGGCAGGCUCGAGUUCGGUAGGGGAGACUGGAAUUCCCGGUGUAGCGGUGAAAUGCGCAGAGAUCGGGAGGAACACCCGUAGCGAAGGCGGCAUUCUGGGCCGGUACUGACGCUGAGGAGCGAAAGCGUGGGGAGCAAACAGG